GGCGCUUUGGCGGAGUGGUUAUCGCGUGGCACUAGAAUCUUGCAUUCUAGAGUAUACUUCUACUCAACAAUAUAUGCCAUUCCCUCUGGGAGCAUAGGUUCAAAUCCUGUAGGCGUCG